rnacentral:misc_RNA from 1 species
UAUGAAGAACGCAGCGAAAUGCGAUAAGUAAUGUGAAUUGCAGAAUUCAGUGAAUCAUCGAAUCUUUGAACGCACAUUGCGCCCGCCAGUAUUCUGGCGGGCAUGCCUGUUCGAGCGUCAUUUCAACCAUCAAGCCCCCGGCUUGUGUUGGGGACCUGCGGCUGCCGCAGGCCCUGAAAACCAGUGGCGGGCUCGCUAGUCACUCCGAGCGUAGUAGUUACAUCUCGCUCAGGGCGUGCUGCGGGUUCCGGCCGUUAAAAGCCUUAUUUACCCAAGGUUGACCUCGGAUCAGGUAGGAAGACCCGCUGAACUUAAGCAUAUCAAUAAGCGGAGGA